UUAAAAAUAUAAAGGUAUGUUUAUCUUUUGCCUACUUUGAAGAAAAUAGAAUUGCAGUCUUUAUCAGGAAGUACUAGAAAAAAUUUUGAAAAUAUAAAAGACUCUAAUUUAUAUCAGGUAAUAAUAAUAAUAAUAAUAAUAAUAAUAAUAAUGUCCAUUUGCUGUAGGGCUGUGUUCCCUGGAAGGUAUUUUAGGGCGGCCGUGGCUCUUCUGGGCCGGGACCCAAGAAGCUCCUGGCUGGCCUAGGGUUGGAGCCCACGGCGGUGAGGAGGGAGCCAAGGGCCUAUGGAAAGUGCCAGGGGCCGCACACUGCGCACCUCGCCUCUUCGGAUCCAACUCUUUCCCGCAGGCUGAGGUGGCCCACCCAAGGGGCCAGCCAUCCAGAUCCUUCAGGUGCCCGUCUGCAGGAAGAACAGGGGUUCUUUCAGGUCAUCAUUCAACAAUCAACAGAUCUUCUUGGCUAGUUGUGUAUCAGGCAUUCCAAACAGGCACUGGAAAACCAACAAAUAAAAAUACGAGACUCCUGACCUAAAGGAACUUAGCAUCUAGUCUGGUAGACAGAUGAAUAGCCACAUAACUAAACAAGAGUGUGAGGAGUACCAAGCUGGGGUGCACACAAUGAACUCCAGGGUUCCAGAAAAAACGCUCCCAAAUCAUGUAAGUGAUCAGGAAUGGGUUGGAAAAGUAAUUAGCAAAGCUUUCUGGGAGGCUUCCCAUCUUAAGUGAGUUGUGAAG
rnacentral:lncRNA from 12 species